UAUUGCCCAGGCUGGCCCUGAGCUCCAGGGUUCAAGUAAUCUGCCUGCCUCAGCCUCCCGAGUAGCUUGGACUACAGACACACACCCUCACACCUGGCAGAAGAAGGACUCUAACUUUGCAGUCACCAGCAAGCAGAGAAAGCAGGAAGUGAGCCAGAGAGGAAGGGACCAGGGACGACCACUGUCCCUGAGGUCACCACUGUCAACGGGGCUGCACCCAACAACAUUCCCAGUGAUGCCCUGAAAGUUUGCAUCCAUCAGUGGAUGGACUCACAGAUGCAGGUGUUAACCAUCAGAGUUUAUAGAAUAAACCCGGAACACUGAAGAGAGCAGCUCAUCUGGCGAAGCUACUUCAAAAGUAGGAAAGGGAAGAAACAUUAUGUCACUGUGUGUGCUGCCUAGGAGUGCACUUCU